rnacentral:misc_RNA from 1 species
AACGCACAUUGCGCCCAUUGGCAUUCCGAUGGGCAUGCCUGUUCGAGCGUCAUUAUCCUCCCUCAAACCCCUGGGUUUGGUGUUGGACUCUGUUGUGCGGGUGUGGCACAACUGGUCUGAAAGACAAUGACGGCGUCCGUGGGACCCUCGAUGCAACGAGCUUUUCGAAGCACGCGUCGAGUGCCUCGUCCCUCCGGGCCCGGUCUCCCUUUUUUUUUCUAGGUUGACCUCGGAUCAGGUAGGAAUACCCGCUGAACUUAA